UGGACCAUUGACAGUGACUGGCAGUGUAUGAAUCAAGAAUGAUGAUUGAUAUGUGUCUGGACAUCUGUAUGGAAGUGUUAAA
rnacentral:snoRNA from 1 species